GAGGCGAGGUGCGGCCCAGGUGAGGCGCCGGGCACUGUGGGUUACCUGGCAGACGUCUCAUUAAACCCCGAAAAACGUGCGCGAUGACUGUGUUUUUUUUGUAUUCACUGCCGAUAGAUGAAGAGUGGUCGGCGGGGAGGACAACGCAAGACGGAGCGGGGCGUCAUGUGUGGAGUUCAAUUUUUCCAAGUGUUUGUGUGUGAGUCCGUGAGUCUUCCAGCGUGACAGUGACGUGUGUUGAAGCGCCGUGUCAAACUGUAUCGCCUUUCGUGUGUGUGUGUGUGUGUGUGUGUGUGUGUGUGUGUGUGUGUGUGUGUGUGUGUGUGUGUGUGUGUGUGUGUGUGUGUGUGUGUGUGUGUGUGUGUGUGUGUGUGUGUGUGUGUGUGUGUGUGUGUGUGUGUGUGUGUGUGUGUAAGUGUUUAUGGCGCAACGCUAAUAUUCUUUUAACCUCUCGAGAAGGACAGAAACACAUGCGCACUUACAUGAGUAAACAAACACACAUACACACAAACACACUCAGUACUACAUAAAACAACAACAACAAGAACAACAAUAAAACUCCUGACGGCGACGCUGAAGAGACGAUAUGCACACCUUCAGAAAUCACGUGACAUGAAAGCGUGACAGAGACCAGAUAGAGGAGGAGGAAGAGGAGGAGGCGUAAGAGGAGGAGGAGGAGGAAAAGAAGAUAGUUAAUGUGUUGUUAUUCUCUUCCUCCUAGUCCUCUUCUACGAGUAUAUCCUCCUCCUCCUCCUCCUCCUCAUUCACCUUCUCCUCUUCUUCCUCCCUGGGAACGAGUAACCGUGUGGGUGCUCUGAAGGGACACACCGCCGCCCAUCCUACACCUUCGCCAAGACAAAGAACGGGAUAAUUAUCUCUGCAAAAACUGCCUAAAGAUUGCCAAAGAAUUACCGGGAAUUUCUUGACAAAAACCCUUAAUUUGCCUUCCGCGUCCUCUCUCUGCGCUCUGAACGGCCGUAUAUGUGUGUGUAAAUGUUCUGAGGGUGUCCUGUGGCUUCCUCCUCCUCCUCCUCCUCCUCCUCUUCUUCUUCUUCUUCUUCUUCUUCUUCUUCUUCUUCUUCUUUUUCUUCUUCUUCUGCUCCUUGUCCUCCUCCUUGUCCUUCUUCUCCUUGUCCUCUUCCAUCUUCUUUUCCUUCGGCUAUUUACUACUGCUGUUUCUUCUUCAAGCUUCCUCGUAUUGCAAGUUAUGGUUUUGUUUUGUUUUUCGAAUCUCCUCCUCCCUCCUCCUCCUCCUCCUCCUCCUCCUCCUACUUUGAUGCUUAUAUUUCACAUACUCUUCCUUUGCUUUUCUCCUUCUUUCUCUAACUUCUUUCUCAUCUUCCUCCUCUUUCCUCUCUAACUUUUCGUUUCUUUUCAUCUUCCCGCGCUUUUCCUCUUUUGCUUUAUUUAGAAUGCGAAAAAAUGACGAUGGGAAUCACGGUUAAUACGAGGACUGCUGACUACAGAUAAGUUAAAUACAAAAACAGAUACUACAAAUGAUUAUAAAGGGUAAAAAUAUCGACUGAGACAAAUCUACAGGAACUUUGAUGUGUCUAAAAAAAUCAGAAAAGAAAACGGAGACACGGGGAGUCGAAUUAAUGUGCGUUCCGUGUAUGAAUAAUUCAGAACUUGAGUGGAAAAGUGGAAUAUUAUGGAAAUGGAAUGAUAAAAAAAAUGAAUCGAUAGUAAUAAAACAUUGUCAAUAAACUAGAAGCAUUUAAUUUCUUAUUGAGGAAAAAUUAACUGAAUGGCAUAAAAGAAAAAGAGGUGAAACAAGAAAGGGCUUUUGUCAAACAGUGUGACGGAAGGAGGAACCGCUGGUGUCCAAAAAUGUAAUAUGUGAAAGGAAGAGACAGGCGGCCGGAAAAUUUGUACCCAGGUAAAAGUAAAGCCUGAUUGUGCGUGCGACACACACACACACACACACACACACACACACACACACACACACACACACACACACACACACA
rnacentral:lncRNA from 1 species